UACGUAGGGACCAAGCGUUGUUCGGAUUUACUGGGCGUAAAGGGCGCGUAGGCGGCUUGACAAGUCACUUGUGAAAUCUCCGGGCUUAACUCGGAACGGCCAAGUGAAACUGUCAUGCUAGAGUGCAGAAGGGGCAAUCGGAAUUCUUGGUGUAGCGGUGAAAUGCGUAGAUAUCAAGAGGAACACCUGAGGUGAAGACGGGUUGCUGGGCUGACACUGACGCUGAGGCGCGAAAGCAUGGGGAGCGAACAGG
rnacentral:rRNA from 1 species